rnacentral:rRNA from 1 species
UUCUUAACGGAUUGAGGUGCCAAACGCGUAGGACGUUGAAGGGUGUAGGCAAAUCCGCACCCCGAGUCCGAAACGUGAUGGCGGUGCCUUAGAGCCACAAGUGAUUGAGCCAUGCCGCCAAGAAAAGCUUCUAAGCGUCGAGAUUUGAGUGACCGUACCGCAAACCGACACUGGUAGGUGGGUAGAAUAUACCAAGGGGAGUGAGAGAACCCUCGUUAAGGAAUUAGGCAAAUUUCCCCCGUACGUUCGCAAUAAGGGGGGCCUCUGGCGGUUAGCUUAGGCAAAGCUGCUGGAGGCCGCAGAGAAAUGGCUCUUCCAACUGUUUAACAAAAACACAGGUCUCUGCUAAGUCGAAAGACGAAGUAUAGGGGCUGACGCCUGCCCAGUGCUGGAAGGUUAAGGGGAGAGGUUAGGGGUAACCCGAAGCUUUGAGCCGAAGCCCCAGUGAACGGCGGCCGUAACUAUAACGGUCCUAAGGUAGCGAAAUUCCUUGUCGGGUAAGGUCCGACCCGCACGAAUGGCGUAAUGAGAGGAGCACUGUCUCAACGAGGGACUCGGCGAACAUUGAAGGACGUGUGAAGAUACACGUGACCCGCAGCGGGACAAAAAGACCCCGUGAAGCUUUACUACAACUUGCCAUUGAGUUAGGGCUAAACCUGUGUAGCAUAGGUGGGAGGCUUUGAAGCUGGGACGCCAGUCUCGGUGGAGCCACCGUUGAAAUACCACCCUGGUUUAUUCUUGGCUCUAACCUGUCGCCGUUAUCCGGCAUGGGAACAGUGGCUGGUGGGUAGUUUGACUGGGGCGGUCGCCUCCGAAAGCGUAGCAGAGGCGCCCAAAGGUUCCCUCAGGCUGAAUGGAAACCAGCCGUUGAGUGUAAAGGCACAAGGGAGCUUGACUGCAAGACCUACAAGUCGCGCAGGGACGAAAGUCGGGCUUAGUGAUCCCACGGUUCAGAGUGGAAUGGCCGUGGCUUACCGGAUAAAAGCUACUCCGGGGAUAACAGGGUAGUCUGGUCCAAGAGUUCAUAUCGACGACCAGGUUCGCCACCUCGAUGUCGGCUCAUCACAUCCUGGGGCUGGAUAGGGUCCCAAGGGUUGGGCUGUUCGCCCAUUAAAGUGGUACGUGAGCUGGGUUCAGACCGUCGUGAGACAGGUCGGUCUCUAUCCGCUGUGGGCGUAAGGGAUUUGAGAGAAGCUGCCCCUAGUACGAGAGGACCGGGGUGGACGGACCUCUAGUGUGCCAGUUGUUCUGCCAAGAGCAUUGCUGGGUAGCUAAGUCUGGCAGCGAUAACCGCUGAAAGCAUCUAAGUGGGAAACGCGCCUCAAGAUGAGAUCCCCCACUGUAAAAGGGUAAGUGCACCGGGAGACUACCGGUUAGAUAGGCGGCAGGUGUACGCACUGAGAGGUGUUGAGCCGAGCCGUACUAAUGCACGAGGACUUAAUCCA